GAUGAACGCUAGCGGCAGGCCUAAUACAUGCAAGUCGGACGGGAUCGGGGAGCUUGCUCCCCGUGAGAGUGGCGCACGGGUGCGUAACACGUAUGUAACCUACCUUUAUCAGGGGGAUAGCCUCUCGAAAGAGAGAUUAACACCGCAUAACAUCACAUGAUAGCAUUAUCGAGUGAUCAAAUAUUCAUAGGAUAAAGAUGGGCAUGCGGGACAUUAGCUAGUUGGCGGGAUAACGGCCCACCAAGGCGACGAUGUCUAGGGGAUCUGAGAGGAUGACCCCCCACACUGGUACUGAGGCACGGACCAGACUCCUACGGGAGGCAGCAGUAAGGAAUAUUGGUCAAUGGACGCAAGUCUGAACCAGCCAUGCCGCGUGCAGGAGGACGGCCCUACGGGUUGUAAACUGCUUUUGUACCGGAAUAAACCCUUUACGUGUAAGAGGCUGAAUGUACGGUAAGAAUAAGGAUCGGCUAACUCCGUGCCAGCAGCCGCGGUAA
rnacentral:rRNA from 1 species